GGCGUUUUGCAAAAUUCUCUGUAGUGGCACAGUCGGGCUUUGCCCACAUUUUUCGGCCAAUUAGCCGGUCCUUUUACUCCGAUUUAACCAUGAGUGUGUUUAAAAUUAAAUUCUGAGCAAGGGAGAAAAUUUUCACCUCUUUUGGCGGUUAGAAAGGCCUUUGGCACGGCGGGGGGUGACAGUGAUCUCCUUCCCGGCGGCUUGGUCUUCUUCUCCAGCGAGGGGGUUUGACGGCUAAGGUUAGGGUUUGGUGUGGAGGUUAUUUCUAUCUAUCCACUUUUGAUUUGGACCGUCCAUCGCGUUUGAUAUGGAUCGUCCUAUCGCGAUUAAAUAAGGAGUGAAUUUGGACUGUUUAAUGUGAUCUAAUCUAGGUCGUUCAUCGCGAUCUAAUCUGGACCGUCCGAUCACGUUUAAAUCUGACCGUUCGAUCGCGUUUAGGGAGGGAACGCAUCUGGACCGUUCGUUCGCACGAGAAUGGAUCUGAGUCGUUCGAUCGCGGGCACGCGGAUCGCCCGCAUGGCCUCCCGCGUUGCACCGUGUCAGUGUCCACUGUCACGCGGUGCGUCCUGAUUCGUCAGGAUUGCUAACCAGAUAUUCU
rnacentral:lncRNA from 1 species